GUUAUAAUAGUUUAAAUAAAACAUUGGUCUUGUAAACCAAAAUUAGAUCAUAAAUCUUUACAACU
rnacentral:tRNA from 1 species